AGCAACCUUCUCUUUGGCAGAGGAACAGUGUGCUAGACUUGCUCAGGACUCCUUACAACACAACACCUUCUCUGUUUUGUGCAGCACAAACUGGCCACCAGCCUGACUGGUCCCAACCACUGAACAGGAACAGCAAACUGGAAAGCACUGGUCUGCUACUGGAGCUAAGGAGACAGCCUGUAAAACAGGGUUGCAAUGACCUCCAAUCUCCAUGCACCUUGAACUGAAUAGAAAAUCCACGUGUAAUACAGACAUUCGUGUUACAAACAGCAGAUGAAAGAGGUAGUAGGUUAAAGAACCAGAAACAUGGAAGACGGAAAAGAAGCCCCAGGUCUUGAAGACUGCAUGAAGGGAUCAGGAAGAUAUUUCCGUGCAGUGACCUGAAACAAGAUCUUCAGGGUUGCAUACGUUCUUCAUUAUCUGCCUAUACAACAUCUUUUCUAAAGACCAUGCUGCAAAAUUCAAUCUAAUAAAAAUUUGCCUCCUGAUUUUCAGAGACCCAUUUUUAUGCUGGACUAAUCCGCUAACUCCAGUAAUGUCAGGGAGAGAUGCAUUUUCCAGUUUCAGUUCAUGUAUAUCUCUAGUCACACAGACUAUAAGCUUCAAUAAGGACUACUUUGGACUAUUUUAAGAAUAAGUUUAGCUUUUUUUUUUUUUAAAUUCUCAAACUCAACUAUGAAAUUGAACAAAACCACAUAACUUGUCACUAAUCUCUCAGUUUAGAUAGAUCCAGAUAGAGCGAAGAUAAUGGCAUAUAUUGAGUGGUACAAGCGCAAGAAUUAUAUUAAGCUAGGAAGGCACUAAGCUGUCAUUAGAAAUCUGUGGUGUCUUGGUGUGAUCUCUUGGUGUAAUACCCAUUCAUUGAAGGUCCUGUCAAUCAGGAUGUAUUAGAAAUGAUUUAAAACUUGUGUUGCUCAAAAAGAUCUUCAGUACCAAAUUUACAUGAACAUUUCAGAUUUUAGGGUUUCUGACAUAAUAGCCUAUGUCAUGAGAUGGGGUGUUCACUGCUCUAACUUCAUAAACAAGUCAAGACGAAUAAGCAAAAAUGAAGAUACAAUAAUGGAAAGAAGCCCCAAAACUGAGAAGCAAAUGAUCUAAAGCUCAUGCUGGAAAAUAUGCAGUAGGUCAACAUGGAGUAACAUACUCUGGUCACACAAGAUAGGCCAACGGAAAGUGAGGAGCAAACUCUGCCUCUAAAACAAAUAAAGGCAUGUAAGUGCAUAUUUUCUCUUUAAUUCCAUGCUAUGGGACUUGCAAACACAAAGGUUUUAUCAA